rnacentral:rRNA from 1 species
GGCCUACCAUGGUGGUAACGGGUAACGGGGUGUUAGGGCACGACACCGGAGAGGGAGCUGAGAAACGGCUACCACAUCCAAGGAUGGCAGCAGGCGCGCAAAUUACCCAAUCCCGACACGGGGAGGUAGUGACAAUAAAUAACAAUACGGGGUUCUUUCGGAUCUCGUAAUUGGAAUGAGUACAAUUUAAAUCUCUUAACGAGGAACAAUUGGAGGGCAAGUCUGGUGCCAGCAGCCGCGGUAAUUCCAGCUCCAAUAGCGUAUAUUAAAGUUGUUGCAGUUAAAAAGCUCGUAGUUGAAUUUCGGGGUCAGUAGGUUGGUCGUGCCACAGGUAUGAACUGGUCUCACUGAUUCCUCCUUCCUGAUGAACCGUAAUGCCAUUAAUUUGGUGUUGCGGGGAGACUGGACUGUUACUUUGAAAAAAUUAGAGUGUUUAAAGCAGGCUAACGCUUGAAUACAUUAGCAUGGAAUAAUGAAAUAGGACGUUCGGUCUUAUUUUGUUGGUUUCUAAGAUUGACGUAAUGAUUAAUAGGGAUAGUUGGGGGCAUUAGUAUUCAAUUGUCAGAGGUGAAAUUCUUGGAUUUAUUGAAGACUAACUACUGCGAAAGCAUUUGCCAAGGAUGUUUUCAUUAAUCAAGAACGAAAGUUAGGGGAUCGAAGACGAUCAGAUACCGUCGUAGUCUUAACCAUAAACUAUGCCGACUAGGGAUCGGAUGAUGUUAAUUUUUUAAUGACUCAUUCGGCGCCUUACG